rnacentral:rRNA from 1 species
CCUACGGGUGGCUGCAGUGGGGAAUAUUGGACAAUGGGCGAAAGCCUGAUCCAGCCAUGCCGCGUGUGUGAAGAAGGCCUUCGGGUUGUAAAGCACUUUCAGUGGGGAAGAAAGCCUUGGGGCUAAUACCCUCGAGGAAGGACAUCACCCACAGAAGAAGCACCGGCUAACUCCGUGCCAGCAGCCGCGGUAAUACGGAGGGUGCGAGCGUUAAUCGGAAUUACUGGGCGUAAAGCGCGCGUAGGCGGUCUGAUAAGCCGGUUGUGAAAGCCCCGGGCUCAACCUGGGAACGGCAUCCGGAACUGUCAGGCUAGAGUGCAGGAGAGGAAGGUAGAAUUCCCGGUGUAGCGGUGAAAUGCGUAGAGAUCGGGAGGAAUCCCAGUGGCGAAGGCGGCCUUCUGGACUGACACUGACGCUGAGGUGCGAAAGCGUGGGUAGCAAACAGGAUUAGAUCCCCGGUAGUC